rnacentral:tRNA from 1 species
GCCUUCAUUGUUUAAGUGGAUAACACACCCUGCUGCCAAUCGGGAGGUCCGGUGUUCGAAUCCCGGUGAGGGCG